rnacentral:rRNA from 1 species
AGAAUCAACGCUGGCGGCGUGCCUAACACAUGCAAGUCGAACGAGAAAGUGGAGCAAUCCAUGAGUAAAGUGGCGCACGGGUGAGUAACACGUGACUAACCUACCCUUGAGUGGAGAAUAACUUCGGGAAACCGAGGCUAAUACCGCAUAACACCUACGGGUCAAAGGAGCAAUUCGCUUAAGGAGGGGGUCGCGGCAGAUUAGUUAGUUGGCAGGGUAAUGGCCUACCAAGACGGUGAUCUGUA